GGCCAGACUCCUACGGGAGGCAGCAGUGAGGAAUAUUGGUCAAUGGGCUUACGCCUGAACCAGCCAAGUCGCGUGAGGGAAGACUGCCCUAUGGGUUGUAAACCUCUUUUGUCAGGGAGCAAUUGGCGCUACGUGUAGCGUUAUCGAGAGUACCUGAAGAAAAAGCAUCGGCUAACUCCGUGCCAGCAGCCGCGGUAAUACGGAGGAUGCGAGCGUUAUCCGGAUUUAUUGGGUUUAAAGGGUGCGCAGGCGGAAGAUCAAGUCGGCGGUAAAAUUGGGGGGCUCAACCUCUUCGAGCCGUUGAAACUGGUUUUCUUGAGUGAGCGAGAAGUAUGCGGAAUGCGUGGUGUAGCGGUGAAAUGCAUAGAUAUCACGCAGAACUCCGAUUGCGAAGGCAGCAUACCGGCGCUCAACUGACGCUCAUGCACGAAAGUGUGGGUAUCGAACAGGAUUAGAUACCCUCGUAA
rnacentral:rRNA from 1 species